AACCUCUUAUCAACAACAUAAGUAGAUAAAGUGCGAACGCCCUUCAGCCAGAGUUUCGUCGUCCUCUCACGUGCCGCGCAUGUGGAUUGAAAACAUUGUGUUCUUCGCGCACUGCGCGCCUCUUCUCCUCUGACGGUAUCCCAUGUGCCUCCUGCUGCGUUGUCUGCCGCGCUGCCUAUCUGGUAAAUUUGUUUCUCUGUCCGGGACUAUCACAUGGCUCUUCUUACCGCUACCGUCUCUCUCUCUCUCCUUCUUUUGGACAAUGCUGCUUCUAAGCCUGCUUCACUGCCCUGCUCAGAUAUCCGGUUCUCUUCAUUCGUUGCUUAAACUGUGGCUUUGGGGUUUGCUCUUCUCUUCUCUUCUUCCGUGCCGCACAAGGCCCGUGUGGCCAUCAACAUAAGUAGAUAAAGUGCGAACGCCCUUCAGCCAGAGUUUCGUCGUCCUCUCACGUGCCGCGCAUGUGGAUUGAAAACAUUGUGUUCUUCGCGCACUGCGCGCCUCUUCUCCUCUGACGGUAUCCCAUGUGCCUCCUGCUGCGUUGUCUGCCGCGCUGCCUAUCUGGUAAACUUGUUUCUCUGUCCGGGACUAUCACAUGGCUCUUCUUACCGCUACCGUCUCUCUCUCUCUCCUUCUUUUGGACAAUGCUGCUUCUAAGCCUGCUUCACUGCCCUGCUCAGAUAUCCGGUUCUCUUCAUUCGUUGCUUAAACUGUGGCUUUGGGGUUUGCUCUUCUCUUCUCUUCUUCCGUGCCGCACAAGGCCCGUAUAGCCAGACAUCGGCCAAUUCUAGGUUUCAGUGGUCGAGAUCAGCUGCCGCCCGUUCGCUUCUCUUCCUCCUCCUCCGUUUUUUUGGAUCCUUUAGGUCCUCUAGAUUUACUAUUUUGCUCGCCGGAAAGUUGCAAACUUUAGUAAAGCCAGUUAUGUGGUUGUGUUUUUUUUUUCCUCAUUUUUUCCUUAUUUUAUCUUAUGUUAUGUUAUGUUAUCUUAUCUUGUGUUGCUUGAUUUGAGAAUAUUUUCUUGCAAGGUAUGCUCCGGCUCCCGGAAAGUUGCAAACUUUAGUAAAGCCAGUUAUGUGGUUGUGUGUUUUUUUUUCCUCAUUUUUUCCUUAUUUUAUCUUAUGUUAUGUUAUGUUAUGUUAUCUUGUGUUGCUUGAUUUGAGAAUAUUUUCUUGCAAGGUAUGCUCCGGCUCGUGUAUUUGGGAGACUUGGGUUCUGUUCUCUUACUGGUUCUAGCUACGUGUGCAUUUGCCAAGGAGUUGCCGUCUUUUACCUUUUUCCCCAUCCCGAACGCAGGCCUUCUGUUUUUUCUCUCGAACCAAGCUACCCAUGGAGCCUCUGCGUGUGUCUGAGAUCCAUAGUUCCCUUCCUCGGUGGACCUCUGUGAUCCAGGUCAUAGAGGCGUCUCAUACUAAAACUACCCGUGCAGGCCAUCCCAAAAGUUGUGGUACAGGUCUAAUUUUGAUUCAAAUGAUUGGAGCACACAGUUGGCAAGGACUUAAAAUUUAAAACUGGUUAUGAU